rnacentral:rRNA from 1 species
GAAUAUUGGUCAAUGGACGCAAGUCUGAACCAGCCAUGCCGCGUGGAGGAUGAAGGUCCUCUGGAUUGUAAACUUCUUUUCUCUGGGACGAAACCCCCGAAUUCUUUUGGGGCUGACGGUACCAGCGGAAUAAGCACCGGCUAACUCCGUGCCAGCCGCCGCGGUAAUACGGAGGGUGCAAGCGUUAUCCGGAUUCACUGGGUUUAAAGGGUGCGUAGGCGGGCAGGUAAGUCCGCGGUGAAAUCCUGGGGCUUAACCCCAGAACUGCCGUUGAUACUAUCUGUCUUGAAUAUUGUGGAGGUGAGCGGAAUAUGUCAUGUAGCGGUGAAAUGCUUAGAUAUGACAUAGAACACCAAUUGCGAAGGCAGCUCACUACGCAGUUAUUGACGCUGAGGCACGAAAGCGUGGGGAUCAAACAGG